GACAGAGGAUGCAAGCGUUAUCCGGAUUGAUUGGGCGUAAAGUAUCCGUAGGUGGUUUUUUAAGUCUUGUGUUAAAUCUUAGAGCUUAACUUUAAAUAAGCAUUAGAAACUGAAAAACUUGAGUAUGAUAGAGGCAGUGGGAAUUCCCGGUGUAGUGGUGAAAUAUGUAGAGUUCGGGAAGAACACCAGAGGCGAAGGCGCACUGCUGGGUCAUUACUGACACUCAGGGACGAAAGCUAGGGGAGCAAAUGGG
rnacentral:rRNA from 1 species